rnacentral:rRNA from 1 species
AUUGAACGCUGGCGGAAUGCUUUACACAUGCAAGUCGAACGGCAGCACGGGAGCUUGCUCCUGGUGGCGAGUGGCGAACGGGUGAGUAAUAUAUCGGAACGUAUCCAAUAAUGGGGGAUAACUAGUCGAAAGAUUAGCUAAUACCGCAUACGCCCUGAGGGGGAAAGCUAGGGACCGCAAGGCCUGGCGUUAAUGGAGCGGCCGAUAUCUGAUUAGCUAGUUGGUGAGGUAAAGGCUCACCAAGGCGACGAUCAGUAGCUGGUCUGAGAGGACGACCAGCCACACUGGAACUGAGACACGGUCCAGACUCCUACGGGAGGCAGCAGUGGGGAAUUUUGGACAAUGGGCGCAAGCCUGAUCCAGCCAUUCCGCGUGAGUGAAGAAGGCCUUCGGGUUGUAAAGCUCUUUCGCAAGGGAAGAAAACUUAUCCUCUAACAUAGGAUGAGGUUGACGGUACCUUGAUAAGAAGCACCGGCUAACUACGUGCCAGCAGCCGCAGUAA